UGCUAGAGCACGAGGCAAAUCA
rnacentral:piRNA from 1 species